GACGAACGCUGGCGGCGUGCCUAACACAUGCAAGUCGAACGGAGUAAGAGGCUUCGGCCUUUUACUUAGUGGCGAACGGGUGAGUAACGCGUGAGGAACCUGCCUCUCAGUGGGGGACAACAGUUGGAAACGACUGCUAAUACCGCAUAAUGUUUCUGGACCGCAUGAUCUGGAAACCAAAGCUUUAUGUGCUGAGAGAUGGUCUCGCGUCCGAUUAGCUAGAUGGCGGGGUAACGGCCCACCAUGGCGACGAUCAGUAGCCGGUCUGAGAGGAUGAACGGCCACAUUGGGACUGAGAUACGGCCCAGACUCCUACGGGAGGCAGCAGUGGGGAAUAUUGGGCAAUGGGGGGAAACCCUGACCCAGCAACGCCGCGUGAAGGAAGAAGGCCUUCGGUUGUAAACUCUUUAGUAGGGACGAAGAACGUGACGGUACCUACAGAAAAAGACAACGGCGUAACUAACGUG
rnacentral:rRNA from 1 species